rnacentral:rRNA from 1 species
AGAGUUUGAUCCUGGCUCAGGAUGAACGCUAGCGGCAGGCCUAACACAUGCAAGUCGAGGGGUAACAGGUAGGAAGUUUACUUUCUAUGCUGACGACCGGUGCACGGGCGAGUAACGCGUAUGCAAUCUACCCUUAACUGGGGAAUAGCCCGAAGAAAUUCGGAUUAAUGCCCCAUAACACUAUGGUAUCGCAUGAUACUAUAUUUAAAACUCCGGUGGUUAAGGAUGAGCAUGCGUGACAUUAGUUAGUUGGUGAGGUAACGGCUCACCAAGACUGCGAUGUCUAGGGGGCCUGAGAGGGUAGUCCCCCACACUGGUACCGAGACACGGACCAGACUCCUACGGGAGGCAGCAGUGAGGAAUAUUGGUCAAUGGGCGCAAGCCUGAACCAGCCAUGCCGCGUGCAGGAAGACGGCUCUAUGAGUUGUAAACUGCUUUUAUACGGGAAUAACCAUAGCUACGUGUAGUUAUCUGAAUGUACCGUACGAAUAAGCAUCGGCUAACUCCGUGCCAGCAGACGCGGUAAUACGGAGGAUGCAAGCGUUAUCCGGAUUUAUUGGGUUUAAAGGGUGCGUAGGCGGGAAAAUAAGUCAGUGGUGAAAUCCUGCAGCUUAACUGCAGAACUGCCAUUGAUACUGUUUUUUCUUGAGUAUAGUUGAUGUAGGCGGAAUGUGUAAUGUAGCGGUGAAAUGCUUAGAUAUUACACAGAACACCGAUUGCGUAGGCAGCUUACUAAACUAUUACUGACGCUCAGGCACGAAAGCGUGGGUAGCGAACAGGAUUAGAUACCCUGGUAGUCCACGCCGUAAACGAUGAUCACUAGCUGUUGGCAACACAUAGUCAGUGGCAAAGCGAAAGCAUUAAGUGAUCCACCUGGGGAGUACGCUCGCAAGAGUGAAACUCAAAGGAAUUGACGGGGGCCCGCACAAGCGGUGGAACAUGUGGUUUAAUUCGAUGAUACGCGAGGAACCUUACCUGGGCUUAAAUGCAUAACGACGUAGUGGGAAACCAUUGCUCCCUUCGGGGCGUUUUGCAAGGUGCUGCAUGGUUGUCGUCAGCUCGUGCCGUGAGGUGUCGGGUUAAGUCCCAUAGCGAGCGCAACCCCUAUCGUUAGUUGCUAGCAGGUAAUGCUGAGGACUCUAGCGAAACUGCCGGUGUAAACCGAGAGGAAGGUGGGGAUGACGUCAAAUCAGCACGGCCCUUAUGUCCAGGGCUACACACGUGUUACAAUGGUCGGUACAGAGGGCAGCUACCUGGUGACAGGAUGCUAAUCUCGAAAGCCGGUCACAGUUCGGAUUGAAGUCUGCAACUCGACUUCAUGAAGUUGGAAUCGCUAGUAAUCGUGGAUCAGCAUGCCACGGUGAAUACGUUCCCGGGCCUUGUAC